rnacentral:rRNA from 1 species
GACGAACGCUGGCGGCGUGCUUAACACAUGCAAGUCGAACGGAAAGGCCCUGCUUUUGUGGGGUGCUCGAGUGGCGAACGGGUGAGUAACACGUGAGUAACCUGCCCUUGACUUUGGGAUAACUUCAGGAAACUGGGGCUAAUACCGGAUAGGAGCUCCUGCUGCAUGGUGGGGGUUGGAAAGUUUCGGCGGUUGGGGAUGGACUCGCGGCUUAUCAGCUUGUUGGUGGGGUAGUGGCUUACCAAGGCUUUGACGGGUAGCCGGCCGGAGAGGGUGACCGGACACAUUGGGACUGAGAUACGGCCGAGACUGCUGCGGUAGGCAGCAGUGGGGAAUAUUGCACAAUGGGCGGAACCCUGAUGCAGCAACGCCGCGUGCGGGAUGACGGCCUUCGGGUUGUAACCCGCUUUCGCCUGUGACGAAGCGUGAGUGACGGUAAUGGGUAAAUAAGCACCGGCUAACUACGUG